UCCUAUUCAUCCAUCAUUUAAAUCCUCAUCUUCUAUUCAUCAUUAUGAUCACCAUCAUGAUAAUUGACAUGAUACAACGAUUAUCAUUGUUUUUUGACAUUCUCAAUUAUGAAUCGCUCCCUCUUCUCUAUGUUAAAGUCUGAAUUUGCUUUAAUAAAGUGUUAAGUCUCCUUUAAGUUUGUGUAUAAUGUUUCUUUCAUGAUUCAGUUUCCUCCUUAUUUUGUCAGAAUUUAAUUCAUACACACUCACACUCACACUCACUAUCUUUCACAACAUUAAUCAUGAUUUAAUUACAAAUGAAUAAAGCAACAACAAGGGAAAGUACGUAAGUUGAAGAUGUAAAACAAAGAAAAGCAGAGGUCAACACAAAUUCACAGGAAUUCAUUCACCUCAAUCUAAAUACACUAUUUAUCUUUGGAAAAUGGCUUAGAGAUUAUCACCGAAAUUCAUCAUCGUCAAGUUCAAAUAUGAAUUCAAGAAAAAGAGAAGGGAAAUAUUCAAAAAAUUUAAUUAGCCAGUCACCCGGACAUUAACAACACUGAUCAAGGUGCUGUUAAAACUCAACCUGCCAAUAAGUUAACCAAGCCAGCAAAGUCUACUUUUAGUACCAAGAUUUGUCAACACCAAAAGCAACAACUAUCAUGUCCUAAUUGUCCAAUAACGAGUGAUAAUCAUCAUCAUUACGACCGUCCAUUAUAUGAAAUAUUAGGCCAAUUAGUCGAAGCAAAUGUCUACUUGUUUCAUGGAUGUAUAUUUGCCUGAUUUUAACCACCUUUUGACUGCCAUUCGAGACGAAAGUUUACCAGAAAGUAAUUGGAAAUCGCUCGUUGAAAUGGAUGCAAAUUGAUCUGAACGUCUCUCGACUCAAACCAUAAUUCCAAUCAAUAUGAUCAAUGGAUACAAGAAGGAAACUGAAUUAUUGGCCAGAAAAUAUCUAAACCCGAAGCAAUUUCAUCAACACCAGCAUAAACAUUUAAUGAACUGCUUAAAAUCAAUCAUUUGCCUUUUAAUUUUCAACAAUUUUCAGGUCAAUUUAACUCUUUUGUCGUCCAUUAAUCUUUCAAUCUAAUAUAUUUAUAUAAAUUUUAAAAUGGCUUUUCACUUUUGCAAA